CGGGACGGGUGAGUAAUGUCUGGGAAACUGCCCGAUGGAGGGGGAUAACUACUGGAAACGGUAGCUAAUACCGCAUAACGUCGCAAGACCAAAGAGGGGACCUUCGGGCCUCUUGCCAUCGGAUGUGCCCAGAUGGGAUUAGCUAGUAGGUGGGGUAACGGCUCACCUAGGCGAUGAUCCCUAGCUGGUCUGAGAGGAUGACCAGCCACACUGGAACUGAGACACGGUCCAG
rnacentral:rRNA from 1 species